UAGGCGACCGGGUGAGUAACACGUGACUAACCUACCCUAGAGUGGGGAAUAACCUCGGGAAACCGGGGCUAAUACCGCAUAACAUCACGAGCUGUAAACGCUUGUGAUCAAAGGAGCAAUUCGCUCAAGGAGGGGGUCGCGGCUGAUUAGUUAGUUGGUGAGGUAACGGCCCACCAAGACUUAGAUCAGUAUCCGGCCUGAGAGGGCGCACGGACACACUGGAACUGAAACACGGUCCAG
rnacentral:rRNA from 1 species